rnacentral:rRNA from 1 species
UGGAACCUACCUUGUACAGGGGAAUAGCCCAGGGAAACUUGGAUUAAUGCCCCGUGGUACCACGACCUGGCAUCAGGAUGUGGUUAAAGCCUUCGGGCGGUAUAAGAUGGCCAUGCGUCCCAUUAGUUUGUUGGUAAGGUAACGGCUUACCAAGACUACGAUGGGUAGGGGCCCUGAGAGGGGGAUCCCCCACACUGGUACUGAGACACGGACCAGACUCCUACGGGAGGCAGCAGUGAGGAAUAUUGGACAAUGGAGGAGACUCUGAUCCAGCCAUGCCGCGUGCAGGAAGAAUGCCCUAUGGGUAGUAAACUGCUUUUAUACAGGAAGAAAAAGGGGCACGUGUGCCCUACUGACGGUACUGUAAGAAUAAGGACCGGCUAACUCCGUGCCAGCAGCCGCGGUAAUACGGAGGGUCCGAGCGUUAUCCGGAAUUAUUGGGUUUAAAGGGUCCGUAGGCGGGCGAUUAAGUCAGUGGUGAAAGUCUGUAGCUCAACUAUAGAAUUGCCUUUGAUACUGAUCGUCUUGAGUUAUAGUGAAGUUGCCGGAAUAUGUAGUGUAGCGGUGAAAUGCAUAGAUAUUACAUAGAACACCGAUUGCGAAGGCAGGUGACUAACUAUAUACUGACGCUGAUGGACGAAAGCGUGGGGAGCGAACAGGAUUAGAUACCCUGGUAGUCCACGCCGUAAACGAUGGAUACUAGCUGUCCGAGGCCUUGAGUCUUGGGCGGCCAAGCGAAAGUGAUAAGUAUCCCACCUGGGGAGUACGUUCGCAAGAAUGAAACUCAAAGGAAUUGACGGGGGCCCGCACAAGCGGUGGAGCAUGUGGUUUA